rnacentral:rRNA from 1 species
AAUUUUGCGCAAUGGAGGGAACUCUGACGCAGCGACGCCGCGUGAGCGACGAAGGCCUUCGGGUCGUAAAGCUCAGUUAUCGGGGAUGAAAAGGACAGUACCCAAAGAGAAAGCCCCGGCUAACUACGUGCCAGCAGCCGCGGUAAUACGUAGGGGGCGAGCGUUUGCCGGAAUUACUGGGUGUAAAGGGCGUGUAGGCGGGGAUGCAAGUUAUCGGUAAAAACCCGGAGCUUAACUUCGGGCUUGCCGGUGAAACUGUGUCUCUUGAGUGCAGGAGAGGGAAGUGGAAUUCCCGGAGUAGCGGUGAAAUGCGUAGAUACCGGGAGGAACACCAGUGGCGAAGGCGGCUUCCUGGCCUGCAACUGACGCUGAGGCGCGAAAGCUGGGGGAGCAAAC